CCUACGGGAGGCAGCAGUGGGGAAUAUUGGGCAAUGGGCGCAAGCCUGACCCAGCAACGCCGCGUGAAGGAAGAAGGCUUUCGGGUUGUAAACUUCUUUUGUCAGGGACGAAGCAAGAGACGGUACCUGACGAAUAAGCCACGGCUAACUACGUGCCAGCAGCCGCGGUACUACGUAGGUGGCAAGCGUUAUCCGGAUUUACUGGGUGUAAAGGGCGUGUAGGCGGGGAAGCAAGUCAGAUGUGAAAACCACGGGCUCAACCUGUGGCCUGCAUUUGAAACUGUUUUUCUUGAGUGCUGGAGAGGCAAUCGGAAUUCCGUGUGUAGCGGUGAAAUGCGUAGAUAUACGGAGGAACACCAGUGGCGAAGGCGGAUUGCUGGACAGUAACUGACGCUGAGGCGCGAAAGCGUGGGGAGCAAACAGGAUUAGAUACCCCUGUAGUC
rnacentral:rRNA from 1 species